rnacentral:lncRNA from 1 species
UUCUCACAAAACUGGUCUUCAAAAGAAACUCAUCAAACCGACGAUACCAUUGCCUAGGGCUUUGCUUCAACCCAUACAAAGAUUUCUUCAAAAGACACACCUUAGACUUGUCCUCCACAAAACCUUCCGGUUGCUCCAUGUAGAUUGUCUCUUCAAGGUCACCAUGUAAGAAAGCGGUCUUCACAUCCAUUUGUUCCAACUCAAGAUUGAAUUGAUUCACAAUAGCCAUAAGUAUCCUUAUGGAACAAUGCUUCACCACCGGUGAAAAGAUCUCGUUGUAGUCGAUCCCCUCCACUUGAGUGAAACCCUUUGCCACAAGUCUUGCUUUAUACCUUGGACCUUCAACACCC